UCUCGCACUGCAGCACACAGUUCUCCAUGUUCAGAGUUCCCUGGCGGACACCUGACAAUCAUCAAACAAAAGUGAUGUUACUUUAACCCAGAGUUGGUAACCACCAGCUCACUCUGUCUGCUCCUGCUGAUCCACAAGUGUCUGACAUGAGGCAGUAGUCUGGUAUUGAGGAGGGACUGAAGCUGGAUGGUGCUGCAGGAAGAUGUGAC